rnacentral:rRNA from 1 species
UACGGGGGGAGCAAGCGUUGUUCGGAUUUACUGGGCGUAAAGGGCGCGUAGGCGGCCACCGCAAGUCGACUGUGAAAUCUCCGGGCUUAACCCGGAAAGGUCAGCCGAUACUGCGGGGCUAGAGUGCAGAAGGGGCAACUGGAAUUCUCGGUGUAGCGGUGAAAUGCGUAGAUAUCGAGAGGAACACCUGCGGCGAAGGCGGCUAUCUGGCUAUGUACUGACGCUGAGACUCGAAAGCAUGGGGAGCAAACAGG